UUUUACGUGAUCGCUAAAUAAAUUUUGGAAAAUACAGAAAGGAAUUAAAUAGAGAAUUAAAAUAACACUUAAUCCCUCUACUGAGAAAUGGCCACUAUUAAUAUUUUGAUGUUUUUCCUUACAGUAAUUUUUUUCCCCAUGCAUUUCUUUUAUUACAUGGCAAAUAACCUAUUAUCUCCAUUGGAUGGAGUCCUAUGAGUGGAGUUACUGGAUGGGAGUGCAUAGACAUUUUUUAAAGUCUUGAAACAUAUUUACUAAAUUGAUUUCAAGAAAACUUCCUUCAGCUCACGUGCACUUGCCUGGAUUAAAUGUGUGUUGAUUUCAGAAGCAAUUCUCAGUAAACUUCCUGCAUGCAAAUCACCAACUCAGAAUCUGCUUCCUGGGAACCUGUCUGCAAUAUGCUGUGAUAGACAAUAUGUGGAGUCCUGCAAGAAUCUGGAGAUUUCCUAAAGCCAAACACAAAUAAGAAUAAAGAAAAGUUUUCAAUCAUG